UCCUAAUGUUUUUUACACUCAGUGUGUGUGGCACUGAGUGUCCGGAUUUCACCAUGUUUGAACUCAAGCUCUUGGACUUGAGCACCAAUAUACAGCUAUGUGAAUUCCUGACACAUGUGAACUCACCAAAAUCAGCAAUGUUGUACAAUUUCUUCUUUUUUUUCAUUUUUUUUUUACAUAUGACAAUACCAAAGAGGAUUAUAGGAUUCUCUACAUCAGCUUGGCCAAGCUAAAUCACUGAUGUGUAUUAGAAAGGGUUAUUGGGUCUAGGAGGAUAUAAUGCCAGAAAUCCCAAAGUGUAGAAAAUGGCUAAUGUUCCAACUAAAACUUAUUUUAUCACCUGCUACUGACCUGUUAUCAACUGUUCAGUUUGUUGCUAGUCUCUUUAAAAAUGUACCUGACUGUGUGACCCUGUGAGUGCAGCUGGGGUUUGUGACCAUUUUGUUAUUUCUGCUGCCAUGCACUGUCAGACGUCUACAAGUGAAGAACAUCGGCCACUGUCCCUAGUAAGCCCAUGGCAUAAAAAAUUCAGGCCAACUCUAAUUUAAAGCCCUUUCUGAUGAAAAGCACACCGAAAUGAAACUGACUUAUGCCAAAUGAAUAUCACUGAAUCGCUGUGAUUGUGGGGUUGAUGUUUGUAACGUUGAAAUUAUUUAUAAAACAUCAAUUCCAUUUCAACAGUACCGAUGCCAUGAAGUGUGGACAUUUUUCCUUCAGCCUCCUCAGAGAGUUUUUAUACACUGGGCCUAAAUCUAAUGAUGUAAAAAAAACUCCAGUAUUCGCAGCAUUGCCCUUUUAAUAGAUCAUACCAAGCAUGUCGGUAGAAGCUGCUACAAUCCCAAUAUCUGCAAAGAGACACAAGUAAAUGCACAUUAUAAUAACAUUUGCUUUGAGAUAGUGAAACUAUUAGAAGUAUUUUCAGUUUUUUUUUUUUUUUACGGAAUGUUAAGAAAAUGUUCACCUGAAAACCACAUAUUUAUAUAUUUUGUGACAAAAACAACAACCUGCAAAUCAUAUUCAUGGAAAAUGUGUGGACAUUGUGUAACACCAAGAUAUGAAAUUGAGGGGCGGUUUCCUGGACAAAGAUUAAACCUAGUCCUAGACUAAAAAGCACUUUCAAUGGAGAUUCUCAAAUGACCUUGCUAUUUAGUACGGGCACAGAG
ensembl:lncRNA